GUGAGUCACUCAUCACGCGAAUAUCGAAGUUUUCUUCUUGCCCCCAACAUACGGAAGUGUUCUAAUUUUCGUCAAACUCCCUUCGGAAAAUUUCGACAAGCACAAUUCGAUCUGAUUUUAUCACGAGAGAGAAUGGGUUACGUUCUGAGAGUAAGGCUAGCAUCCUUCUUCGUAGGAGCAGUUACAGCCUCUGGUGCGGCUCUUUAUAUCCUUCACAAGGAUUAUAAGGUUGCUCACGGAGCCAUCUCUAAACAGGUGAAAGGGCUAUAUGAAUCAAUGGAUGGACGUGUUUCAGCUUUGGAGAAAUUGAAAGAAGUUGAAGCUCAAGACCCAGUGGAAGUGGCAGAGUGAAAGAGAUGUCGAGCAAUUUAGUUGAGCUCAUUUUGGGUAACUUCAUCUUGGAUUUUGUUUUGACUUUGAAAAGUGUGUACUGUUUACAUGUAUGAUAAUAAUUCGCGACUCAACUGAUCUGCCUGAAUAUGAAGAUGCUGUUACAGUCAAUUUUACACUGCAUGGUUUUUGUUUCUAUUAAUGUUUUAGUCAGAAAA